GGGGCGACCAUCUGUUGCAACUAGUUGGGAGGAAGUAACACAGGUUAAAAGACAUGCUGUGAAACAAAGCCAGAGAUUAAUGAUUGAUAAUUAAGUGCAAAUAAGUGUAUAAACCCACAGUGAGUGACUGAAGAAGCAACACUCAAUGCAUCAUGGGAAUCCCCCAGCAGCUUCGACCUAUUGCAGCAUAACUAAGUGACGAUAUAGGAUCACCUGAUUCAAUCCUAUCUGUAAACUUUAUCAAAAAGAAAAGCAUAGUCUAAAAAGUAGAGAGGGUAUUUGUCUCCCAAAUCCAAACUGGCAGCUGGUUCCACAUAGGCUCUGCCUCCCAUUCUACUUUAAAAUACUCAGGGAACAACAAAUAAGAAUAGAAUAGAAUACUUACUAAUCCCUUGGGGAGGUCCCCAUGGGGAAAUCAUGGUUCCAGGAGCACAACACCUUAAAUACAAAUAAGAAAAAAAAACAGGUACAAAUGAUUAAGAAUAAAAUGUCAGCAGCAAUAGAAUUUACAAGGCAAUAAAUCCAGGAAUUAAAGUGUAAUACAGUCACCAACUGUCAGUGUGUUUGUUUAGGUCACUGCGUCUACAUCAUCCACCCCUCUCCUCCCCCUGCUGCUACUCCUUCCAAAGGGGCUUUUAGUCCUGCUGGGGAGGAGCAGCCUGUCACUGAUCAGGCUUCUCUGUGCGUUGAUGACAGUGUGCAGAGGGUGGCUGACAUUAUCCAUAAUAUUCAGAUGUUUGUCCAUGGGUCCUCUUCUCUGCCUGUCAGCAGAGAGUCCAACUUCAUGCCAACCACAGAGCCAGCCUGUCUGAUCAGCUUCUCCAACCUGCAGGAGUCCUUUCUGGAUGUACUUCUCCCCCAGCACACCACCACGUAAAAGAUCCCACUGGUGACCACAGACUGGUAGAACAUCCACAGGAGUUUCCUGCAGAUGUUAUCCUGUGAGCCGUGUUGCAAAACCAGUCCAGUGUGUUGUCUAGCUAAGCUCCAAAAUACUUGUAGUUUCCCACAACCUCAACCUCAUUUCCCUCUGUCAGAACUGGUUGAUGACUGGCUGAUGGUGCGGUUGUCCUGUUUCCAACUCUGUCUGCCCCCACGCUUCUGGGGGCAUUGCUGCAGCUUCCCACCCUCAUUAUCAAGUACAUUUGUGAGAAAAACACAGGGAUUUUCAUAGUCACACACACACACACUAUAGGAAGAAUAAAAACUAAAAAGAACUGGUCAAUGACAUGGUGUGGACUUUCCAUAGUUUACGAUAAACUCCUUGUUCUUUGAGGUGUUGAGCUGUAGGAGGUUCCUCUGGCUCCAGACAAAGUCACUCACCAGAUUUCUCUUCUCAUCUUCUCUGCCAUUCCUUAUACACCCCAUGAUGCCUGUGUCAUCUGCAAAUUUCUGACCAUGACACAUCACUGAGCAGAAGUCUGAAGUGUAUAAGGUGAAGAGAAGAGGGGCCAGCACCAUGCCCUGAGGUGCACCAGUGCUGCUGAGCGUAAGACUUGAUAUCCUUCAGCCUGAUAUAGUGUGGUCUUUCUGUGGGCUAGCUGCCGAUCCAGGUAGCCUCUCCUCCACGUUUUUUCCUGUAGGUGUCCUUGGCCACCUUCAGGCACUGCUUCACCUACCGCUGUGCUGACUUGAUAACUGUCCUGUCCUUUAUUCUGAAGGUCCCCUUCUUCCUGUUGAGGACACCCUUCACCACCUGUGUUAUCCAAGGUUUGUUAUUAGAAGAACAUUGUGCUGUCUUGACAGGGGAGACCACAUCCACACAGAUGUUCAGGUAGUCAGUCAGACAGCUGGCGGUCCCUUCAUUGUCCUUAUCACGUGGAUCCAGCAGCACAUCCCAGUCAGCGGAUUCAAAGCAGUCUCUCAGGGCAUUUCCCGAUACAGUGUGGUGAAGCAGACUGCCUUUUAACCAGAGGAGUGUACUGUAGUUAUGGUCUGACUUUCAGAGUUGGGGUAGAGGUGUGACUCUGUAUGCAUCCCUCACAUUAGCAUACAUGAGAUCAAUUGUGCUGUUAUUCCUACCGGACAGUUCACAAACUGGUGGAAGCAAAGUGGAGUCCAAUGAGACGUGAUUAAAAACAGAAAAUGAAAAAUGCCUCUGAAUACUGUGUCUGCAGCCGUGCUGCGACUGUGAGAAAUGUGUCACAGGCAGUAUCUGCAUCAAUGUGUUUUGGACUACAUUUUGAAAAAAGCAAACUGAGUCUAAUAAUUAAGGUUGAGGCUGUCAUUGUUAGCAUCUACAUGGAUGUUAAAAUCAACCACAAUAAUUAUUUUAUCUGAGCUGAGCACUAAAUCAGAUAAAAAGAAACACUGAGUAAGGCACAGGUGGAUGAUGGUCAACAGCAAAUAAAACUGGUUUUUGAGUUUUCCAGCUAGGACGGACAGACAAACAUCAGCAGAACUGUUUUGUAGUUUCUGGGUGGGACGCUCGAGUGAAUGGAUGCAUAUAGAAUGAUGAUUUAAUUGGUCAUUUAAACUUUUUAAAGAGCUUAUAUAAUUUAAUAUAUAAUCCUGGAAUCCCUUGUAUUUGUGGGUGACUCUUCUGGGGACUGUAUUGUCCUCCUGGGGGGGAUCGUGUGAUCUAGAGGGGUGUGAUUGGGAGAAACAGCCUCCACAGUCUAAACCCACGUGUUUUAUUGUUGGACUCCUUUAAAGGAAACAAGUUACAAUUUUUACAUUGCAAAAUUGAAGUAAUUAACUUUCAUCCAUUACCUACUGAGAAAAGAAAAUAAUGAGAGUACGACUGCAUUACCAGAUAAACACUUCUCAUUUGUCAUAUUUGUUUUUGUUACUAAGCUGUGUACAUACUGGAAGCACUUCACUCCUUGCACAUUGCUUUGUAGUUGAUGUCUCGUGGCCAUUCCCCCUCUGGCUUCCGAGCACUCCUCCUCCUGCUCUCCUGACUGAAUGCUGCUGCCUGAGCCCGGCCCCUCCUCAGCUCGAGGAGCUGCUUUUACUCACUCAAGCACCAAGGGACACAGGAAUCAUGACUCUGCUAUAGAGGGCAGCCUCUACGCAAGCUCCUCCAACAACAGACACAUUUCCCACAGCUGAUCUUCAAGGCAGAAUACAUCAUGAAGAAUCUCUAAGGACCUUUUCUUUCGUCUUUCCUCUGUGAAACUCACCUUUAAGUUUUCUGAAAUUCAAAAUUUGUUACGAAAGAUGAGUGUGAAAAAAAAGGCUGCACUUGUCAUCAGCUGGCAGAAGUCAUUUUCCAUCAUGGCCCCUUGGAGGAAAGGUAAAGGAGACAGUAAAAACACAUUACUGGACAGUGAGGUUGUCCUGACAAAAAUGAAGCUUUUCAGCAACUUCCAUGAAAGUCUUCUGAGGGCUGAUGACGCCGUGUCCACCAUUUCCACAGUGUCAGUUAUUGACCAGGAAAACUCACACUCCGAGCUGAAUUCUCAGCUUAAUGAAAAGCCUCAGAUCAAGUCUGGCUCCAAAUAUCUAUCUGCCAUUUUGUCAGAUUCUCAUCUCUCAAACUUGUACAAGUGUGAAUCUGAGGACUCUGGAGUGGAGCUCCCCAGCGGAGCUAAUUCACCAUCCACCCCAACAGGAUCUGAGCAGAGCUUUGUGGUCCACAGUCGAGAGUCUUCCUGUGACUCCUCCAACUUAAACUCUGAGCCCACCGUCCUCUCUGACAGACUCGUUGCAGAUACAAAGAACACUGAGAAAAACCAGGCAAAUGACUCAGCGGAUAACAGUUUAAAUACAACAGUGGAUACACAGGAUAGUUUGUUCAUUCAUUCAAAUACACUUAUUUCUUCGGCUAUAACAGUAGAGUUGCACAUAGGUGAGGAUGUGGACCAAUGCAGGGUUUUGGGUGCUGAACAAAGUGAGGAUGCUGAAGAAUCCAGUGCUGUGACAGGAAGGACCAGCUCAGAGGAUACGAGGCUUGGAGAGCAAUCCUUAAUACAAAGCUGUGAUGACAUGACAAGCAAAGUCUUUGAACCCGAGCCUAUUAAAAGGAGUAUCACCAGUGACAGCCUGGAAGAGUACAUGGAUGAAUGCUGCAGAUUAAGUAAGGAACAGCAAGUGAGCUCCAGCCCACUAUCAUCAGGACUGGGUUACCUGGAGCACAUCUGUCAACUCGUUGAGAAGAUCAGCCAGAUGCAGGAGACUAACCUCCAGCUGCAGAGGCAGCUCUGCAGUCUGCAAAAGGAAUGCAGGAUGAGAAAGGCCAAAGAGGACUUCUUCAAAGACUACUGCAGCUGUGGUGCAGCCAGUUUAGCCUUCCAGGAUUUUCAGAAAACACAAUCCAGAGAUGAGUUUUCAUCACCCAGUGGAACUCUCUCAGACCUGUCAGCCAUUCCAGAGGUCACACAGCACCCACUCAUGUCGACCAGUGGAGGAGUUACAGGUGAUGCUUUAACACUCGUCCCUCCGUGGAGGAAGAGCCUAAACCAAAGGAGUUACACUGAGGGGGAGGUCCACGGGGACAGCACUGAGGGGCUCUCCAUCACUCAGCACACACUGAGUGAAAACAACACAUGGGCCAGAGUCAAAGACAUGGUAAGGAAGACUAAGUUAAGGAAUCACAGCAGGCUGGGAACAGCCUCAGCUUCACUGAAGAUGUCCUGCCCACAGCUCUACAGACCUGAUCUGGAACCAGUACAAUCAUCUGGAACAAGCAGGAACUCUAUGAUUGCCUUGGGCCACCGGAGUACACUGGACUUCCCGUGGCUUGAGUAAGGAUCCAGGUAGUGAAGAGUGCUUUUUAUAAAAGAGCAGAACGACUUUAACAAAGACCAAAUGAUGAUGGCCAGACGACUGGGUUGUAGCAUCUCCAAAAUAAUAAGAACAGUGAUAUAGUUUUGAGUACUAAAGGGUCUGCUAUCCUUAUAGUGACAUAAUUUCAUUAUCAGAAGAUAAACUGUGAAGACUUCUGCAAACCUGGCUGUUUAUUAUGGACUAUACAGAUACACACAUAGCAAAAUGUGCAGGGUCCACAUACAGGGACAUAAAUUAUGACAUGUUUUUACUUAUGUCCUUUUAUUUGUUUGUUUGUUCCUCAUUAAAUGCAAUGCUGUGCAAAAGCCUUGAGGCACCACCAUUUCUUUCAGAUUUUGCUUCCAGACUGUCUUGGAUUUUGUGUAAUAGUUCUCCACUCAGUUUUCACUUUCAAGGCUUUUAUUUAUGAAUGUUUUAUGGAAUCAGGAAAAGGGGAGGACAAAGAGGAUGUAGCAGGUGUAAAAGUAUCUGCAGCACGUGAACAGUAUCUGAAAGUGAUGUACUUAAGAAAUGAGAUCAAAUCCAGCAAAGAUCUGACACAUGACCAGAGAGAUGCAUCUGCCUCAUCUACUCUUCACCAAAGCCUCAUCAGAAACAGCCUCAGUAGAAGGCUGGCUGUCAGGAAGCCAUUCUUAAAGAUGAGGUAUGCCACAGUGCACAGGAACUGGACUGAAAAUCAGUGUCAGCGGGACUGAUGGGGUGCUGAAGCCAAUCAGCGAAUCAAGAUGUGAUUGGCUGAUUUCUGCCACGUGUGUUCUCAGUCAAGAAAUUACUUUAACUGUCUGACUUGUGGCCCAUUUCCAUUGGCAGCCAUAUAUCCCAUACAUGGCUAUUACAUGUUCUCUAUCAUGUUUUAUGCUUUGAAUCAUGAGCUGUUCCUUUCCUCCGUCUUGUGUUUGUUUUUGCAGAAACAGCCUGUCUGAUCGGACCUCCUCGCUCCUGAGUGUAACAAGUAGUUGUAAACUUUCUGUAUUUACAUUCAUGAAGUCAUCUUUUGAUUGUAGACUUUGACAUCUGCUUCUGUGAGACUGUUGUGCUGAGCUGGCUAGUUCAGUCAUUCUUUUUCAAGAAUGUUCAAGACUUUUUAUUUGACAGCUGCUAAAAUCUGCAAUCUCUCCAGCCUAAGUAUGGCCUCUUCCACAGCAGCUCCUGUGACCUCAUAUUGAGACUUGUAGUGCACAGCUACCAAUGCAGGUUCAACAUUUCACAGCACGUCCAGUGUAACAAGAGAAUAAAACAUCAUCUGGCCAUGAAACUGCUUGUCAGCUGUUCUUACUUUGUUAUUUCUUAAUGUUCAGCCUCUGGAAAUGGGAGGUGUAAAAUCCUGUCUGCAUGCUCUCUGUAACUGUGUGAUAAUGUCUUUG
ensembl:lncRNA